UCAGAGCGUUUCGCGCCUGGAGCAGGAACGCAGCAAGAGCGGCAUUGGAGACAAACCGUCAUUGUCAGAGCAAGAGCAUUGUCCCAAAAUAGGUUCUUGCACCCAGUGUGCAAAAGGCUGAUCACGCACAGUGUGGAGGAGCAGUUGGGAGCAAGAGCAGCAGAAGUGCAGUGGGAGCCCGAGUUGGCAGAGCUGUGAGACAGAGCACAAUCCACCAUGUACUGGUGGAACAGGGCCUCAAACACCACCAGGAUGCACAUUGAGCUGAACAAGAGCUCCCAGGACUGCCAGCCAAAUGAAGUGCAUGCAUUUAACUUCCCUUUGUCAAAUGCUGGCAAAGAUAAUCCUCAGGGAAGCUUUGACUGUGUCCAGCAAACAAGCUCAACGUA